rnacentral:rRNA from 1 species
GACGAACGCUGGCGGCGUGCUUAACACAUGCAAGUCGAGCGGAAAGGCCCGUCGGGGUUCUCGAGCGGCGAACGGGUGAGUAACACGGUAGUAACCGGCCCUACGCUUUGGGAUAACCCCGGGAAACCGGGGCUAAUACCGGAUUAGCCCAGAAACCGCAUGGAGAUGGGUGGAAAGUUUCUUCGGCCUGGGAUGGGCUCGCGGCCUAUCAGCUUGUUGGUGGGGGGAAGGCCGUCCCAGGCGAUGACGGGUAGCCGGCCUGAGAGGGCGACCGGCCACACUGGGACUGAGACACGGCCCAGACUCCUACGGGGGGCAGCGGUGGGGAUUAUUGCACAAUGGGCGGAAGCCUGAUGCAGCGACGCCGUGUGGGGGAUGAAGGCCUGCGGGUUGUAAACCUCUUUCGGCAGGGACGAAGCGUGAGUGACGGUACCUGCAGAAGAAGCGCCGGCCAACUACGUG